UACAAAUUGGAGGUCUGUUAUUGCCAACACAAGGAGAAAGGCAGUAGGUGUUACUCUGCAUGCCAUGUUCAGGUAAAUUUUUCUGGUAGCAGCAGCAGCAGCAGCAGCUCUGACCAUUGAACAGCCCUGCUAAAACUCCUGCCUUGGAGACUGCCUUCUUACCAAACGGUUAUUCUGCCUGCCCACUCCCUAACUAGGGGUUCUUCUCGUUGGGGUCGAGUGGAGAUUUAGAAAGUGUUGCGUCGUCGCGCUGCCCUCCUGACAGCCUGAAAAAAGCCUUUGCUCACCAACGCGCCUCGUCGAGUGGAUCAGAAAAUCGACUAAAGCGAGUGUCUUGCCUGCGUGCAAUCGCUUGGAGAAACAUGUAGAAAUGUGAUGCAGAAGAAAAGCAAGAAAGCGCUUGAGGGAGUAGCACGAUCGGUGGCAAUACCACGGGCCCGAUAGCCCUUCUAGCGGAUGAGCAUCGUUUUUUAAAUCGGCCACCAGUUGGAUUUUCGUAGAACCGAUCCUUGGAACGCCAUCUUCCCCAUCUCAGGCUUUGCGGGCUACAGGAGUAUCAAAGCUGCCGGCCUCGUUCGGCAGAUGCUCAUUUCAUCAUAUGUCUGUCGGCCGAUCGGUUGGGUGGUUCGCUGGCUCGGUAGUUGAUUCUUUGCUGUACUCAUCACAGGAAUGGCGGCCAUCAACAGGCAGAGAAAAGGUAACUCACCAGCUGUUUUAACUACUAUGCGCCUGCUAAGGUGGUUCAUUGUUCGGUGCCGAAGAAGCACCGAUGCUCUGCUACGACGAUGAGGCUGUCUUUAAUGGUCGAAUCAGAAUAAACCUAUGUUCUCAUGUGAAGGCAUCUUGUUGGUCGAAACAAAAUCUAAAGUAAAGCAAAGGUUCAGAAGAAGUCUCGCAAAUCGGCUUCCUACGAUGUCGUAGGUGUGUAGGCUCCUUCUUCGGCACAGAUAUCAGAGGGGGCGGAGGUUGAGUAUCCAGUAGUCUGUACUCUACGGUAACAACUAUCAAAGACGGGAGGGAAGUAGCGAGAAAGCUAUAGGCCGCUGUAUCAGACCGGGCCCGAACCACAGGCGGCAGGUCCGCACUGUAGUUCGUGGAAAAACAGGAGGGGCGUCUUUAAAUUGGCGGCCGCAGGCAAAUCCGGAGAGUUGAAGGUAUCUGCGUAGCUCUUUUAAGACAGUCACUGUGAAUUCCUGAGUGGCUUUUGCUCCUGGCUGUUGAAAGGCUGGAGGGAAACCGCCAAAGUACGAGAACAAAUCCUGCUUGUUCCCGCUUCCCAUCAGCAAUACCCAAGCACCUGUGAGCUUAGCGGAAACUAUAGUCGCGAAUCUCAGUCGUAUCGAUUACCUCGUCGAGAGAACUAACCCAAAAAAAAAAGAAAGACUACACCAUUGCGAAAAGAAGACUGGCUAGGAUCAUCGUAUUUCGAUCCGCGGAUGUUGAAAGUGGGCGGUUACCUAAUGGAAUUUGAGGUAGUGAGAGGUUAAUGGCAGUUUCACGGGAUGUUGAUUUUCAUUGUUGCGCAUAGCCGCGUUUCAACAAGCGAUUCCCCGUAGCGUUUAGUUUUUGCCUGUCGACCGUUCGUGUGUAAUUAUUCAAGGAGCAGCGGCAGUCUUCAUACCUUUUUUUUGAUUUUUUAUAGUCCCAAUUCCAAACCCUUUGGAGGGUUACUAAGAUCCAGGGCGGUCGGAGGGGACAUCGGUCAUUCAAGUAGUUGUCUUUACCAGCCACAGCAUGCUAGCCGGUUUCAGCCUGUCCCUUGAGAGGCUUCGACGACCUAUCGUCGUAGUACAAUGUUGAAUCGUAUGCAUGACAAGACAUUUGUUUGCGCCUCGUAGUUCGAAUGACGAGCUUGCAGAGACUGGAUGUUGAUCGCGAAAUUAGGGCAGAUUAUACACGUUGCAUGUGUUCAGUACGAUUGUCUUCAUCUUAAACUGGCGGCACAUAAUUUUCCUUUGUUGUUUUGCUUUCAACCAGCAAGUGUGAUAUAAAACCCAGCGCGAACGAAGCUAACAGAUAUGCAAUUUAUAAUUACUCGAUAGAUUUAAAAAAAAAAUUGGCGUUUUACCUGUUCUACCGAUUUUCUGACGUGGUAGAGGAGCUAAUACCGCUGGCCUUAACCAGGAAAUAUCACCGGGAUAUAGUGAUCCAGGGACAUGCACACGCAUGCCCAAUGAUAAUUGAUUAGGCCAGAAGUGUUUAAAGGAACUCAUGUGACGAGCGGCAUCCUUCUAAGUUGAGGCUACCAGCGGUAAUGGAGUGCAUGGAAAAAUAACAAGUAUAUUGUGAGUACAAAUGCAUAUCAAUGUAAUGUCACGAAGAACUGAAAAAGUUUCAUUUUAUACUACUUCCCGUUCAAGUGUAACAUCGAUUCACUUCAUUAAUUCUAUACCGAAUAAGACGGUCUGCCAAGACCGCUAUAGGUACACCGCAUAUGGGCUGUUGUCUUCUUGAGACAAUGCUUUUUGCAAUGCAUGGCUCGCUUAAGGAUUACAUUUGGAUAGAAAGAGGGUGACUGGGGAAAUUGCUGCGGUUCAGCGGUUAGAUGGGCUUCCGGGGCGGCCUCGUGUUCGGUGCGGUUUGGCAGGAACAGGGUGGUGUGGCGUCUGCAGUGGCUAGCCGGCUGGAUUUGCGGCCAGUAGCGAUGGCAAAAGGGGAAAAAGGGGUGUACUCUCGACUGUUGGAGGUGCCUGUGGCCACCCAGACUGAUGGAAAAGGAGGCAACGAAGGUACGGGAUAUGGGGCAUACCAUCUGAAUGACCGCGGGCCAGCUGCUGCCCACCAACCCAAGACCAGCGUCAUUCUACCGUCAGCUCUUCGCUUGGCCUCGACAGCUUCUUCGUUCAUUCCUAAACUAUUCUUUCAUCUCUCUCUAUCUCUCUAUCACAGCCACUCACUGUCUAACCCUAACCUACCAGCUUUUCCAGAACCUAUUCUCCGUUUGCAAUGUAACUCCCACGAGGUAAAAAGGAUCUGUUGGCUGUUAAGGCCAGUCUGGGGACAGACCGGAACUAGCUAGCUUUGACUAGGUUCUAUUGACAGCGAGGUGGUAGUCGCAUGCUGUAGAAUAGUAAAGACCUACUUUUAAAAUGGCCAACAUUCCCUCCAUAUUCUACGCCGUCCGGUCUAUCUUAGUGGCGCCUUUAAAUGGGUUGGAAUUGGGAUUGUACAGAAAUGCAAAAGGAGUAUGAAAGCUACUGCUGUUUAUUGAAUAAUUACGCACGAACAGUCGACAGGCGAAAACAAGAAACAGCGUCGUUGAGGGAAGAGAACACGGCCACGGGGCGGAAGUAAGCUAGCAGCGUACGGCACCAGAAUUUGAGCAUGAAAUUUGAACAUGAGGUAGCGCUAAAAAGGAAACAGCAGUUCUACCACAGCAGCAUGCAUGGUACAAACGUGUUUUUCUUAUAGCGAAACAACAGCUGACUAGUUCGAAACUUCCUCCUUUUACUCAUCAUUGUCAGCGGCCAGUAAGCGAUUUUUCCUAUUACCUAGAUAUAUAUCGAUA